GCCUGGGUGGCUCAGUCGGUAAAGCGUCUGACUUCAGCUCAGAUCAUGAUCUCGCGGUUCGUGGGUUCGAUCCCCACAUCAGGCU
rnacentral:tRNA from 1 species